AGUGAACGCUGGCGGUAGGCCUAACACAUGCAAGUCGAACGGCAGCACAGUAAGAGCUUGCUCUUACGGGUGGCGAGUGGCGGACGGGUGAGGAAUACAUCGGAAUCUACUUUUUCGUGGGGGAUAACGUAGGGAAACUUACGCUAAUACCGCAUACGACCUACGGGUGAAAGCAGGGGAUCUUCGGACCUUGCGCGAUUGAAUGAGCCGAUGUCGGAUUAGCUAGUUGGCGGGGUAAAGGCCCACCAAGGCGACGAUCCGUAGCUGGUCUGAGAGGAUGAUCAGCCACACUGGAACUGAGACACGGUCCAGACUCCUACGGGAGGCAGAAGUGGGGAAUAUUGGACAAUGGGCGCAAGCCUGAUCCAGCCAUACCGCGUGGGUGAAGAAGGCCUUCGGGUUGUAAAGCCCUUUUGUUGGGAAAGAAAAGCAGCAGGUUAAUACCCCGCUGUUCUGACGGUACCCAAAGAAUAAACACCGGCUAACUUCGU
rnacentral:rRNA from 1 species